CAGUAGCCGCGGUAAUACCAGCAGCCCAAGUGGUGGUCGCGAUUAUUGGGCCUAAAGCGCUCGUAGCCGGGCCGGUAAGUCCCUUGUGAAAUCGGACGGCCUAACCGUUCGGCGUGCAAGGGAUAUUGUCGGUCUUGAGGCCGGGAGACGUCCGAGGUACUCCGGGGGUAGCGGUGAAAUGUUCUGAUCCUCGGGGGACCACCGGUGGCGAAGGCGUUCGACGAGAACGGGCCUGACGGUGAGGGGCGAAGGCUAGGGGAGCAAACGGGAUUAGAGACCCGAGUAGUCCCUGUCUCUUAUU
rnacentral:rRNA from 1 species